CUCUCCGUUCCCCAGAUAUGGGCUUUGCAGUUGGAGGGUCAUGGCACUGGCGCCAGCAAGUCUGGCUGACGCCGCUCGGAGACGCUUCCGUGGGUGCCGUUCCUUUAGUGCCGUAAUCUCGCUUACCUAACGUCCAAUUUACUGGAAAUUUUGCAUGCGUGUUCUUCGUUCUUUGCUCUACAACUUUUCAAUUCGCACCUUCCGUCUAUUUACUACAGGUUAUGGCGUUAUUCCCGAAAUUCCUUAGGCUGACUCUCCUUCUGCGCACCUUCGUCCCUGUUUUUAGGUUUGAACCCUGUGGGAGAUCUGAAUCACCUAUUAAUGGAUUCGUGCACUCCGAACACCGAACGGCUAGAAACUUGCGGGAUCUUUUUAUCUCUCUCCAUUCUCGAGUGAGGACAAACAUGGCAAAAGCGGCUCGUUAUACAUGGGGCUGGGGGCAUUUUUUUCGAUGUCGGUUGUUUGUUGGCGUAGAAAUGUGAUUGAAGACUUAUUUUGACGGGAAAAACGUCCUCUUUCCAAUGGCACUGGUCACCCGUACGCGCGACUUUCUGCUUUCUGGAUGUAGCGCGAGGAGAGCAUGGUGGAGAGAGCCGUUACAGCCAGGUGGCGCCGUUGGAGCUUGGAAUUCCUCCAGCUCAUUUGGAAGGGAAAUCAUAGAAGCGUUCGGACGCAUGUCCAGAGAGCUCUCGUUCGGGAAGCGUCUUUCGUCGUAGUUUUGGUGGUUUUGGUGCCCCGCAGUGCUGUGACUGUAUUUCAUGCCUUACUAGUGGUAUCUGGACCUGUUUCUGUGUGUGUAUCUUGGAAGACCGAAAGCUGUUGGAUUUCGUGAAUUGAAGAUGCCUACAAGAAAUAUAUCUUAGAGCUGUCAUCUAGCAUGAUCUGUAAAGGUGUUGAAGACGCUGUACAUCAGGCAAGAGUGUGAUUGUUCAACAGACAUGUCACAGGGAUGAUGAACGAUAUCAAUAAAAAAUAAAAAAUAGAA